GGAAAAGCAAAAACAUAUAUUAAAUAUAAAAUAGAGAAUGAACAUCUUUAAUUAUGUAAACUGGGACAUAUAUAGAAAUGUUAGUGUGUCUAUAACGUGCUGUCCCUACCUAUGAUGGAAGCCAACAAAGAUGGCCUAAUAUUAUGAACUGAAUUACAAACUACAAAAAAUAAUAAUGGAUACAUUUCUUUCUCUUUCUUUCUUCUCCUCCCUCUUUUCUAAAUAUUAAAUUCCCAUCUCUCGUAAAUCAGGGUGGACGGGUUUAAUUUCUUUUGAGACUAAAGUGUUUUGGUCAGCUACAAGACACGUACCGAGUCUAGAUCAGAAGGACAUCGCCAAAAUUUGCAAGUACAUGCUUCUAAGAAUUCUUGAAAUUCCAAUACGUAAGCACUCCAUGGUUUGUGUCCUAAUAUCUGAUUGGCCCAUCCAGGCUUCCUGAUGCAAACUGUUGAACAAUUGGAUUGCUUGAUGUGGUGAAUUCAUGAGUCAUCCCUUGCCAAACGAUCUUUCCUUUAUAAAGAAACAACAACCUGUCAACAGCCCUCCUAAUGGUACUAUGCUGAUGAGUAACAACCACAUAAGAUGCAAUUUUCCCUGGCUUCCCCAGUGCAUCCUCUCCUAUCAUAUGGACAGAACGAAUAAGAUCUUCAACUACAGUCGAUGCAAUUGGAUCAAGUCCAGCAGUUGGCUCAUCAUACAAAAGCACCUCUGGCUCUAUUGAUUUCUUUGUGAUAUCAAAAAUUAUAGAUCGAGCUAAGGCAACUCUUUUCUUCAUCCCACCAGACAGCUCUGAAGGUGUUCGAUCCUCAACCCCCUUCAAACCUACUGAAGCCAAUGUUUCUUUCACAAUCUCUAAGAUUUGUUCCUCUCCCAUGGUUGAGUUUUCAUAUCUACGCAAUUCAAAAACAUUAAGCAAGUCAAGAAUUCUUUUUCCAAAUGGGAUUACAUUGAAACCAGGCUAUCAAUCCCAAAUCCUAAAGAGAAAAAAAAGGUAAUGUUGAAGGCCUCUUACAAAAGGAAACCAACAUUUUCACGUACAGUCAAAGAAUCAAAAAGUGCUGCACUUUGGAACACCAGUCCAAUUCGAAGCCCUGACAUAUCCUGAUCACUGAUUAAACCAUCUCUCCUUCUACCUCGGAUAAAGACCUCACCCUUGUCUGGAGCAAGAAGUCCGGCAAUGAUCUUUAAUAUUGUAGAUUUCCCAGUCCCUGAAGGUCCAAUAAUACCAACUGCUUCACCAUGUCUAAUCUUGAAGCUCACACCUCUCAGUAUAUCCUUCUCCCCAAACGACUUGUAGACAUUUCUACAUUCAAUUAGGAUAUCAGAAUCAUCCUCUGGUUCCAAUACCGCCCCAAAUUGCUCUGAAUUAUACAAAUUAGUGAAUUUGGUUGCUGGAUAUUCAUUGUUGCCCAUGUUCCGCGGAGGUGCGAUACAAGCGCAAACAACCUUUCUCUGCUUAUAGCAGAAAGAAGAGAUUGUGUCCGUACUCCAAAUAGAGAAUCUAGUACAGCCAUGCAGUACAGUAGCAGGAAAUAAAAUUGAACCGGACAAGGAAACCAUACUUUGUGGAGGCAACUGAGGUUCUGGAUGGUGAUAUUACUGAGUCUGAAGCACACCCAGACCGAUCUUCAGGCCAAAAAUUACAAAAACAUAAACAAUAUCCAAAAUGAGGAGGGUAAACAGGUUAUGGGUGAAGGAAAUUGCAAUUUUGAAGCAAACCCAGAAGUAUUUAUGGGCAAGAUUUCACGAAGUAAUUGGAUUUCGACAUUGAAGUGAAAUUCAGAGUAGUUUAUGAAGAACCUUAGAUUGCAGGUAAACAGAGUUGUGAUUUCGAAAGGGACCAGCAAAAAUAUCGGCCAAAAGCCCACAAAAUCAAUUAAAUUUCGCAAUCGAGAUCCCAGAUGAAAUAUCCCAGAAACAAUAAACGUCAACCAAGAACCAAAAGGCAAAUCGAUGUGAAAAGAAAAUAAGAAUGGAAACAAGGAAAAUUAAACAGAUAUAGAAAAGGAAAACGUUUUUCUCGUGCAGUUGCUGCUUUGUUUUUGGUUAGGUAAGCCCGCUUGUGACACAAAUUUUCCUUCUGCUCCUUUCUGGGAAAUCUCCCUCUCCUCCCAGAAAGAGGACGGAGAUCCGCGGAGAGAAUGGAC
rnacentral:misc_RNA from 1 species